GACGAACGCUGGCGGCGUGCCUAAUACAUGCAAGUUGAGCGCUGAAGGUUGGUACUUGUACCAACUGGAUGAGCAGCGAACGGGUGAGUAACGCGUGGGGAAUCUGCCUUUGAGCGGGGGACAACAUUUGGAAACGAAUGCUAAUACCGCAUAAAAACUUUAAACACAAGUUUUAAGUUUGAAAGAUGCAAUUGCAUCACUCAAAGAUGAUCCCGCGUUGUAUUAGCUAGUUGGUGAGGUAAAGGCUCACCAAGGCGAUGAUACAUAGCCGACCUGAGAGGGUGAUCGGCCACAAUGGGACUGAGACACGGCCCAAGCUCCUACGGGAGGCAGCAGUAGGGAAUCUUCGGCAAUGGACGAAAGUCUGACCGGGCAACGCCGCGUGAGUGAAGAAGGGUUUCGGAUCGGAAAACUCUGUUGGUAGAGAAGAACGUUGGUGGGAGUGGAAAGCGCAUCAAGUGACGGUAACUACCCAGAAAGGGACGGCUAACUACGUG
rnacentral:rRNA from 1 species